rnacentral:rRNA from 1 species
AGCGAACGCUGGCGGCAGGCUUAACACAUGCAAGUCGAGCGGGCACUUUCGGGUGUCAGCGGCGGACGGGUGAGUAACGCGUGGGAACGUGCCCUCUGGUUCGGAAUAACUCAGGGAAACUUGAGCUAAUACCGGAUACGCCCUUUUGGGGAAAGGCUUGCUGCCGGAGGAUCGGCCCGCGUCUGAUUAGCUAGUUGGUGAGGUAACGGCUCACCAAGGCGACGAUCAGUAGCCGGUCUGAGAGGAUGAUCAGCCACACUGGGACUGAGACACGGCCCAGACUCCUACGGGAGGCAGCAGUGGGGUAUAUUGGACAAUGGGCGCAAGCCUGAUCCAGCCAUGCCGCGUGAGUGAUGAAGGCCUUAGGGUUGUAAAGCUCUUUUAUCCGGGACGAUAAUGACGGUACCGGAGGAAUAAGCCCCGGCUAACUUCGUG